rnacentral:rRNA from 1 species
UACGAAGGGGGCUAGCGUUGUUCGGAAUUACUGGGCGUAAAGCGCACGUAGGCGGAUCGAUCAGUCAGGGGUGAAAUCCCAGGGCUCAACCCUGGAACUGCCUUUGAUACUGGGGAUCUUGAGUCCGGGAGAGGUGAGUGGAACUGCGAGUGUAGAGGUGAAAUUCGUAGAUAUUCGCAAGAACACCAGUGGCGAAGGCGGCUCACUGGCCCGGUACUGACGCUGAGGUGCGAAAGCGUGGGGAGCAAACAGG